rnacentral:rRNA from 1 species
CUCGGAGUUUGAUCCUGGCUCAGAUUGAACGCUGGCGGAAUGCUUUACACAUGCAAGUCGAACGGUAGAGGGGGCAACCCCUUGAGAGUGGCGAACGGGUGAGUAAUAUAUCGGAACGUGCCCAGUCGUGGGGGAUAACGUAGCGAAAGUUACGCUAAUACCGCAUACGAUCUAAGGAUGAAAGCGGGGACCGUAAGGCCUCGCGCGAUUGGAGCGGCCGAUAUCAGAUUAGGUAGUUGGUGGGGUAAAGGCUCACCAAGCCAACGAUCUGUAGCUGGUCUGAGAGGACGACCAGCCACACUGGAACUGAGACACGGUCCAGACUCCUACGGGAGGCAGCAGUGGGGAAUUUGGACAAUGGACGCAAGUCUGAUCCAGCCAUUCCCGCGUGCAGGAUGAAGGCCCUCGGGUUGUAAACUGCUUUUGUACGGACGAAAAGGUCUCUAUUAAAUACUAGGGGGCUUCAUGACGGUACUGUAAGAAUAAGCACCGGCUAACUACGUGCCAGCAGCCGCGGU